CCUACGUGAGGCAGCAGUGAGGAAUAUUGGUCAAUGGGCGCGAGCCUGAACCAGCCAAGUAGCGUGAAGGAUGACUGCCCUACGGGUUGUAAACUUCUUUUAUAAAGGAAUAAAGUGAGGCACGUGUGCCUUUUUGUAUGUACUUUAUGAAUAAGGAUCGGCUAACUCCGUGCCAGCAGCCGCGGUAAUACGGAGGAUCCGAGCGUUAUCCGGAUUUAUUGGGUUUAAAGGGAGCGUAGAUGGGUUGUUAAGUCAGUUGUGAAAGUUUGCGGCUCAACCGUAAAAUUGCAAUUGAUACUGGCAGUCUUGAGUACAGGUGAGGUAGGCGGAAUUCGUGGUGUAGCGGUGAAAUGCUUAGAUAUCACGAAGAACUCCGAUUGCGAAGGCAGCUUACUAAACUGCCACUGACAUUGAUGCUCGAAAGUGUGGGUAUCAAACAGGAUUAGAUACCCCAGUAGUC
rnacentral:rRNA from 1 species